rnacentral:piRNA from 1 species
UAGGAGAGUCUCUUCUUCCCUGGGUUGAGC